UACGAAGGGGGCUAGCGUUGUUCGGAAUUACUGGGCGUAAAGCGCACGUAGGCGGGUUUGUAAGUAGGGGGUGAAAUCCCAGGGCUCAACCCUGGAACUGCCUUCUAAACUGCAAGCCUGGAGGUCAGGAGAGGCGAGUGGAAUACCGAGUGUAGAGGUGAAAUUCGUAGAUAUUCGGUGGAACACCAGUGGCGAAGGCGACUCGCUGACUGAUACUGACGCUGAGGUGCGAAAGCGUGGGGAGCAAACAGG
rnacentral:rRNA from 1 species